UAGUCGGAGGUGUGUCUCGGACGGUCGGUUCGCCGCUUGUCGGUGCUCAACUGGCCGGUCCGGACGUCCUGCCGGUGGGGCUGUAAAAGGCCCCGUUAUCCUUCUUUGGUCCUCUUCACCGAGUGCCUUGGUGGGCCGGCACGUUUACUUUGAACAAAUUAGAGUGCUCAAAGCAGGCCGUUGGUCGCCUGAAUACAGUGUGCAUGGAAUAAUGGAAUAGGACCUCGGUUCCAUUUUGUUGGUUUUCAGAACUCGAGGUAAUGAUUAAUAGGGACGGACGGGGGCAUCCGUAUUGCGACGUUAGAGGUGAAAUUCUUGGAUCGUCGCAAGACGAACCGAUGCGAAAGCAUUUGCCAAGAACGUUUUCGUUGAUCAAGAANGAAAGUUAGAGGUUCGAAGGCGAUCANAUACCGCCCUAGUUCUAACCAUAAACGAUGCCAGCUAGCCAUCCGCCGAAGUUCCUUCUAUGACUCGGCGGGCAGCUUCCGGGAAACCAAAGCUCUUGGGUUCCGGGGGAAGUAU
rnacentral:rRNA from 1 species